rnacentral:rRNA from 1 species
UGGGGAAUAUUGCACAAUGGGCGCAAGCCUGAUGCAGCCAUGCCGCGUGUAUGAAGAAGGCCUUCGGGUUGUAAAGUACUUUCAGUCGGGAGGAAGGUGGUAAGGUUAAUAACCUUGGCAAUUGACGUUACCGACAGAAGAAGCACCGGCUAACUCCGUGCCAGCAGCCGCGGUAAUACGGAGGGUGCAAGCGUUAAUCGGAAUUACUGGGCGUAAAGCGCACGCAGGCGGUUGAUUGAGUCAGAUGUGAAAUCCCCGGGCUUAACCCGGGAAUUCAUCUGAUACUGGUCAGCUAGAGUCUUGUAGAGGGGGGUAGAAUUCCAUGUGUAGCGGUGAAAUGCGUAGAGAUGUGGAGGAAUACCGGUGGCGAAGGCGGCCCCCUGGACAAAGACUGACGCUCAGGUGCGAAAGCGUGGGGAGCAAACAGG